GGGGUAAAGCCAGAUACAAGUUAUCAAUGUUGCACAAAAUUCCCUAUUGCAAUUGGCGUAGUCGGCAGUAUACUUCACAGGACGACCGUCAACAAAGUGGCUCCUAAUCGGAGUGGUACGGCAUUUCCUGGAGUUCAACCCAGAGCUUCAAGCGGCGGGUGUGGCGUGGCCUUUAACGUCGGGAGCUGUGAUCCUUUGCCGAGGGUCACCAGCGGAGCUCCAACCACGGGGUCUGUGGACCUUAACACUGUGAAGCCACAGUCUCAGGUAAGAAGAGGCCGAAUCGGGAGCUCCGAUCCAUCCCGACGCUGGAGUUUCAAUCAUCCCGACGAGAGGGCUUGAACAUCGGACCAUCGCCAGCGGCGAUCUGUGAGGGUUCAAAGGCCCCGACCAUGGGUGAACAAAAGGAAGAAGAUGACUGAGCUUUUUUGCCUUCCAUCACAGCGAAGAAUGUGGAUUUCACUGUGGUAGAUGUUUAUGUUAAAUUUUAUUUUAUGUGACUGUGUGUCUUAUUGCUUUUCACUUACUGUGGCUGGAUGGUAACUCAAAUUUCGCUGUAGCUAAGUUGGUUAAGUGCCAAUAAACAUUAAC